rnacentral:rRNA from 1 species
GACAGAGGAUGCAAGCGUUAUCCGGAAUGAUUGGGCGUAAAGCGUCUGUAGGUGGCUUUUCAAGUCCGCCGUCAAAUCCCCGGGCUCAACCUGGGAAUGGCAGUGGAUACUGGGAGGCUAGAGUGUGUCAGAGGAUGGUGGAAUUCCCGGUGUAGCGGUGAAAUGCGUAGAGAUCGGGAGGAACAUCAGUGGCGAAGGCGGCCAUCUGGGACAACACUGACGCUGAGGCACGAAAGCGUGGGGAGCAAACCGG